UGGGGAAUCUUGCACAAUGGGGGCAACCCUGAUGCAGCGACGCCGCGUGAGCGAUGAAGCCCUUCGGGGCGUAAAGCUCUUUCGACCGGAACGAUAAUGACGGUACCGGGAGAAGAAGCUGCGGCUAACUACGUGCCAGCAGCCGCGGUAAUACGUAGGCAGCAAGCGUUGUUCGGAGUUACUGGGCGUAAAGAGUGCGUAGGCGGUUUUUAAGUUCGGUGUGAAAUCUCCCGGCUUAACUGGGAGGGUGCGCCGAAGACUGGGAAGCUGGAGUGUGGGAAAGGCAGGCGGAAUUCCUGGUGUAGCGGUGAAAUGCGUAGAUAUCAGGAGGAACACCGGCGGUGUAGACGGCUUGCUAGACCAUAACUGACGCUGAGGCACGAAAGCGUGGGUAGCAAACA
rnacentral:rRNA from 1 species